rnacentral:rRNA from 1 species
UACAGAGGUCCCAAGCGUUGUUCGGAUUCAUUGGGCGUAAAGGGUGCGUAGGCGGCGCGGGAAGUCGGGUGUGAAAUCUCGGAGCUUAACUCCGAAACUGCAUUCGAUACUGCCGUGCUUGAGGACUGGAGAGGAGACUGGAAUUUACGGUGUAGCGGUGAAAUGCGUAGAUAUCGUGAGGAACACCAGAGGCGAAGGCGGCUACCUGGACAAUUGCUGACGCUCAGGCACGAAAGCGUGGGGAGCGAACAGG